GCUUCAGAUGUAUUUGUGAUUUGAUGACAUUCUCAGUGUGGUAACACUUUUUCCUUUCCACCAGGUGGCACUGUGGACUUCAGGCAAACAAGUUUCCAGCACGGGAUACGUGGUGGAGACCUAAAACAAAUACCCCUCUCUUCUGGAGUUGCUACUCAACUUCCUCAAGAUGGAGCAAAAGCAGGGAAUAAGGAGAGGGGUACUCUUCAUUCUCCAUUGUGACUCCAUUUGGGCUUCACCCACAGUUUCAUAGAAGCAAUGGUUAAACUCAGAGCGACAGCACAAAAUGUUUUGUAUGACGCCAGAUGCAGCUGUCAAGAUUCACAACACUAAUAUAGCCCUAGGUGUGGUAACACCUUUGAAUUACACUCCUAGUUAAGAAUGAGGUGGAAAAUGCUCUUUGUUUCACCAUCUCACAUGUUACUACACCGGCUUUCUCCACUGAUCUAAUGUUCUGUCGAUAGAGAUGUCAUAUGGUCUAAUAUUGUGGCUCUCUCCAUCAGGCUUUUCGUCUGCUGGGCUUGCUGGAGCCCUGGACCAGUCACGAGACGCCUCGGCCGUCAGCCUCUCGGAUUCCAAGUCCAGCCAGGACACCGUACCAGAUCUUUAUCCCCAUGGUGAACAACGUGAUGUUGAAGGAUCAAACACCAGCGCUAUGAUGUGCUCAUCUGUCGGAUCGUCAAGGGGUACACUUUGGCAGAGGAGGAAGAGGACCCUCUAA
rnacentral:lncRNA from 13 species